GCGGGGUGGGGAAGGUGGGGGCGCGGCGGUGGCGGGAGCGUCCCUGGUCUCCGCCCCUGUUUCCCACUCUCCUUCCACCUCCCACCCGGCGGGGCUCCGGAGAGGCGCCGCUUGCCAGUCCCCGGAGCCGCCCAGCUGCCGCCGCCUCCGCCCUCCGCUCGCGGUGAGCCCGUCAGUCCCCGCACCGUGCGCUCCUCAGUCUGGGCCAUGGAUGGUGUUGUUACAGAUCUUAUAGCAGUCGGUUUAAAGCGGGGAUCUGAUGAGCUUCUUUCUUCUGAUGUCAUUGACGGACCCUUUACCAUGAACAAUUCUACUUCUACAGGUGUGUAUGCUAAUGGGAAUGACAACAAGAAAUUUAAAGGAGAUAGACCUCCCUGUUCGCCUUCUCGUGUUCUCCAUCUUCGCAAAAUUCCAAGUGAUGUCACCGAAGCAGAGGUCAUAUCAUUAGGUCUACCAUUUGGCAAAGUAACUAAUCUUUUGAUGUUGAAAGGAAAGAGCCAGGCUUUCUUAGAAAUGGCUUCUGAGGAAGCUGCUGUUACUAUGGUGAAUUACUACACUCCUGUUACUCCUCACCUUCGAAGCCAGCCUGUUUUUAUUCAGUAUUCCAAUCACAGAGAACUUAAGACUGACAAUCUACCUAAUCAAGCUAGAGCCCAAGCUGCACUGCAGGCUGUCAGCGCUGUCCAGUCAGGAAGCCUGGCCCUUCCUGGAGCUCCUACCAAUGAAGGCACAGUCAUACCUGGGCAGAGCCCUGUGCUCCGAAUAAUUAUUGAAAACCUCUUUUACCCUGUUACUCUGGAAGUUCUUCAUCAGAUAUUUUCUAAAUUUGGCACAGUCUUGAAGAUUAUCACCUUUACAAAGAAUAAUCAGUUUCAAGCCUUGCUUCAGUAUGCUGACCCAGUGAAUGCACAUUAUGCCAAAAUGGCUCUGGAUGGCCAGAAUAUCUAUAAUGCAUGCUGCACUCUGCGUAUUGACUUCUCCAAGCUCACCAGCCUUAAUGUGAAAUAUAAUAAUGACAAAAGCAGAGACUUCACUCGUUUAGACCUUCCUACUGGUGAUGGCCAGCCAUCCCUUGAACCCCCUAUGGCUGCUGCUUUUGGUGCACCAGGUAUAAUUUCUUCACCAUAUGCAGGGGCUGCUGGAUUUGCCCCAGCCAUUGGAUUUCAUCAAGCUACAGGUAUAUCAGUCCCAGCUGUUCCUGGAGCUCUGGGCCCUCUCACAAUCACCUCCUCUGCUGUCACUGGAAGGAUGGCCAUUCCUGGGACUAGUGGUGUACCAGGAAAUUCUGUUCUGCUUGUCACCAAUCUCAAUCCGGAUCUUAUCACACCACAUGGGCUUUUUAUCCUAUUUGGAGUAUAUGGUGAUGUACAUCGAGUGAAGAUUAUGUUUAAUAAGAAAGAAAAUGCCUUGGUUCAGAUGGCAGAUGCAAGUCAAGCUCAGCUAGCCAUGAACCACCUGAGUGGGCAGAGACUUUACGGAAAAGUGCUUCGUGCUACACUGUCCAAACAUCAGGCAGUUCAGCUUCCCCGAGAGGGACAAGAAGACCAAGGUCUGACUAAGGAUUUUAGCAAUAGUCCUUUGCAUCGCUUUAAAAAACCUGGCUCUAAAAACUUCCAGAAUAUUUUUCCACCAUCAGCCACUCUGCAUCUUUCCAACAUCCCCCCUUCUGUUACAGUGGAUGAUCUGAAGAACCUUUUCACAGAAGCUGGGUGUUCAGUGAAGGCUUUUAAAUUCUUUCAGAAAGAUCGCAAAAUGGCACUCAUUCAGUUGGGAUCUGUGGAAGAAGCAAUCCAGGCCCUCAUUGAACUUCAUAACCAUGACCUUGGAGAAAAUCAUCACCUCAGAGUUUCCUUCUCAAAAUCUACAAUCUGAUUUUUCUGUGAAUUUUUCUCCUAAGACUGGACCAUAAUUUCAGUAAAACCUUCAGACAUAGACUGAAGCAACUCAAGACCAAUUCUGCCUCUUUCACAAAAAUAACUCUGAGUUUGAUAUCCAAGUAUAUUCAGAAAAUUAAGGGACGUUCUUUUUUUCCAUUUUUCCCCCUUGCCAGUAUGUGAUCAAAGAUUAAUUAUCCUGAAUUCUCACAAAUAAAGGCAUGAAGAUUAAAGAGAUUACAGGAUUCUAAUGAUAACCCCUGUUCAGUAAGUAGCAGUUUUUCCUUAAAGCACCCAUGCAGAGACCAGCAUAUGGUAGAUUAUCUGUUGAAUAAAUAAAGAGUUGCCAUUGCCUUGCAGUGGUAGGAGUUUAUGAUGGAAUCAGCCCUAAAUUCUUUACCUUGGCAGUGCCCAUCCUCCAUUCCUGAACUAAAAAUACUAAGACCAUUAUAGAUAGAACCCUGGUGUUUUCUGGUAACUUUGGAAACUGGCUAUUAUAGACCAACAAUCUUGUCUAAACCAAGCGGCCAGCUGAUUAAUGAAAUACACAGAAAGCUGAAUAAAUACAGAAGGAAGUGGGGGGGGCCAUGCCUCAACCCACAAAAAUACCUACUCUCCACAUCAGGGCUUCGGGGAUUUUGUGACAAACUCCCAACAGCACAAUUAUCUUUUACGGUAUUUGUAUUUGCAGUAUUUGCAGAUCCCUACCCUUACUGAGACUGUUGCUUCUAACCUAUACAUUUUUGGGGUAGCCAUAAUUUCUUCGAUGAUGUCCCCCAGAAGCAAAGGUUUCCUACAUCUGGUCAGUCCCAAGGAACCCAAAACAUUCCCCUGCGUAAUGUAUUAGAUAGUUGGUUUCUUUUCCACUUGACUUGUACAUGGCUGCCUUCUGUGUCCUCACGGUCGUGUGUGUGUGUGUGUGUAUGUGUGUGUGUAUGUCUUUCUGUAUAAGCACACCGGUCAUAUUGGAUUAGGGCCCACCCAUCUGACCUCAUUUUACUUUAAUUACAUCUUUAAAGGCCCUAUCUCCAAAUAUAGUUACACUCUGAGGUACUGGAGGACUUUAACAUGAAUUUGGUGGGUGGGUGAGGGUGGGGGCACAAAUUAGUCCAUAACACACUUUCCCCUAGGAGUGCAUGACCCUGCUAAGAGAAUCUUCAGGACCUUAGGAGCCAGAGUUUCAGAAAAACCGUCUUUUCCUUAAUCUUACUAUCUGUGGUCUGUGCUAUCUGUGUAGGAAAAAAAUUCAGAAUUGAGACUACAGAGGUUUGAAAGUAAAAUUUUUUAAUUGUUAAAAACAUAAUUCUCCUACAAAAAUAGACACGAGUUAAAGUUUUAUUUAACUCAAUGAAGGAGCUGGCAGGAUGACAAACUGUGUAGAAAAGAACUACGUUUCAUGUAAUCAGUGGGAAAAGAAAUUCUAAAAUGAAAUUUCUAAUUUAGAUAUAAAACCAGCUAAUCUUCAAGCAAUUAAACCACAACACUUGGGGUUCUCUUCUCUACUGGACAUAGAUGUGUUUUUUUAAGUUUAUGUAUUUGCCAGAGAGUAUGAGCAAGCUGGGGAGGGCAGAGAGAGAGGGGAGAGAGUGAAUGUGAGAAAUAAGCCCACUGACCCAAUCAAAGGAGGGACAUGGAGACUCAUUAAAGCACAGUGAAGCCAGGCUUUAAUCAACAUUCUUGCAAGAGCCGUGUCUGAUGGACAGGCACACUCUGGUAGGUUAGUCUCCUAGUGUGCGGGUCCCUCCCCUGAUUCCUCAUUGGCUGAGGACUACAGAGGCUACACCAUUAGCCCGAAGUUGCCUAUGCCCAUGUAAGGCAAAAAGUAGUCUGAUUGGAACAAAUGUACAUCCCCUCACAUGAUGCAGAAACUUCAGUUCUUUGGCACAUGCUCAUUGCAGGGCCCACAUGAAGAACCAGGAAGUGAAGUGUCUAAGGAUUUGGGACUCCAUUGUUGGGAGAGGUUCGUACAUAUUUCCAAUAGGUUGUAAACCUAUUAACUAGACAGCACAGCUUUUUGUUUUAUUUCUGAAAGUGAAACCUUUCACUUCUCACAGAGAAUCCCAAGCAGGAUCCGUGCUGUUAGCACAGACCCUGACAUGGGGCUCGAUCUCAUCAAUAUGAGAUUGUGACCUGAGCUGAAAUCAAAAGUCAGAUGAUUAAUCCACUGAGCCACCCAGGCACCCCUCUACUGGAUAUAUAUGCUUUCUCAAAUCACACCUUAAUGGCAUUCUAUAAGUUAACCUCUAACAUUACAGGAUUGUUAGUCACAUAAUCGUCCAUUGUGUACUAAUUCAAAGCUUUAGAUCCUUUCCUGCAUACAUAAAAUCACCACUUAGAAUCUAAUACAUGUUGUCCUUCAUCCUGAGUCUCCUUGAACAACUUUGCCAGCUAUGGAUCUUAAAUACUUCUGAGGACUGACUUCUGGCAUGAUGUCAUAAGGUGCUCCACUGACCUGCUCCCCAGUAAAAGUGAAGCUACAAAAAAAAAAGGGGGGGGGGGGACAAGGGGACUCCAGAAAUGUUCCUAAAGGCAAACAGCACAUAAGGAAACAUUUAUUGAAGAACAGCUAGGUAAGAAAACAUAAUAAGAAAGGUGAGAGUCUGUGGUAUUUGAACCAAGAUGACAACCUGUCCCCAGGUCCCACACUGCUGAGACCCAGAACAUCCCCAGUAGCAGAACAAUACCUUUUCUCAUCCUUCUCACAGCCACCUAUCGCUGACACUAAGUCCAAGUGUGGUCAAGAAGUAGGGACCUUCUUCUACUCAGCCCCUCUUUGUGGAACGGAGGCUCUUCCUCAGGUGUGGCAUGUUGAGAAUACUGGGUCCCUGUCACUUUUGUCCUGGCUUGUGACACAAUGGUUCCAUGCCAGGAAAGGCAAGCCAAGAGGACCUUAGGCUGCUCCCCGUUGACACAGACUCCCCCUUUGACAAAACUUGAGUCAGGCUCUUUUUUUUUUUUUAAUGUUUACUUAUUUUGAGAGAGAGAGAAGGUGUGCACGGGACAGCAGCAGAGAGAGGAUCCCAAGCAGGCUCUAUGCUGUCAGUGUGGAGCUGGACACAGAGCUCAGGAACCGAGAGAUUGUGACCUAAGCCGAAAUCAGGAGUCAGACUAAGCCACCCAGACACCCCUAGUCGACUCUUUAUUCUCAAAUAGACCUCAUCCUUGGGCCUGUCCUCAUGAGCCCAAUUUUUACCAGAAUCCUGCUAAAUCAGUUUAGGGAGAAUCCUUUGUUUUCAUUAGCCUGACUUUGCUAUUCUUCUGUCUUCAUUAGGGUGACUUUUAUUUUUCCAGGAGUCUCCUGUGUAGGUAAAUAGUUUGAUUUUUCAUAUAAGAUCUUAAAGAAAUACUCAUCAAGUUUUCAGUGGAAAACAAUAAUUUUUGCCCUUGAGUCUUGAGUCUUCCCCUUAAAAUCCUUACCUUGCUAUUUACACCAUUCCUGGACUGUGAUAUUGUGACCUUCACCCAAUCCUAACCAAGAUUCCCCCCUCCCAUUACUUCUUUGAAAAAUCUGUCUUAAAUCAAACUUCCACCUAAUUCUGACCUUACUCCCUCUAUCUGAGACCAUCUGAGACACAGCCAAAGCUUUUUCAAAGCUUGCUGAGGUAAGCAGUAAACUAGCUUUGUCUUCUCAAUAGGUAUGUUGGUGAAAUUUGAAGAUCUGAUUUUUGACACUGCUUUUGCAUAGAAAUUUGAUUUUACUUUGAUUUUAUGUUUAUUUAAGGAGUCUUGAAAUUAUAGAGACACUGCACCCCACACACCCACAUUUACGUAGCUCUAGUGCCCACCCAUAUUUCCCUCCAGGAGGCCUGUGCCUGGUUUCCUCAUGAUUUGGAGGAAAUUCUGGUCAACCAGGAUGAAGAAUCUUGUAUGCCAAAACAUGUGUAUUAAGUUCAGCUUAAUUUUACUGUUGCCUUUUAUGUGUCAGAUUCUGUGUUGGGCACAGAGAUAAAUAAAGCAUAUCUGCUACUGAGCUCACAGUAUAAUCAGAGAGGCAGACACAUAUACAAAUAAGUAUAAUAAGAAGACCUAAAUGUCAGGAUGAAUUAGGAUGAAAUGUUAUGAGGAAACACAUAGAUGAGGUAUCCGGGGCGCCUGGGUGGCUCAGUCAGUUAAGUGUCCAACUCUUGAUUUCAGCUCAGGUCAUGAUCUCACGGUUCGUGAGUUCACUGUACUGACCUCGCUGAACGUGCUUGGGAUUCUCUCUCUCUGCCCCCCUCUCUCUCUUCCCCUUCCCCACUUGUGCACAUUCACACAUGCUUUCUCUCAAAAUAAACAAAUAAAUUAAAAAAAAAAAAAAGGGCAUCCAAUUCAGUGUGGGCUGUAGGAAAGGCUUCCGGGAGGAGGGGAAACCUGAACAGGGUAUCUACAAGAGGCAGGAAAAAGCCAGAUGGAUGAGAAGAAGGGCAUCCAGACAAUGGGGAGAGCAUGGUACCAAGCUGAAAAGCAGCAUGGUGUGAAUGGAAAGCUAACAUUUAAGUAUUGCCAAUUUUAGGAGCUUAAAAAGUCUGCAGCUAGGAAGGACAUGAAGCUAGAAACAUGGGUGGAGUCUUGAUUUUAUCUUGUGCACAAUGGAGAGCCGUGAAAGUGCUUUAAUCCUAUGCUGUCCAGUAUGGUAGCCACCAGCCAUGUGUGGCUCAUUUGAAAUGUGGCUAGUCCAAAUUGAGAUGUGCUGUAAGUAUAAAAUAAACCCUCGAUUUGGAAGACUCUGUACAAAAGAAGAGUGUUAAAUAUCUCAUUAAUAACUUCAUAUUGAUUAAAUGCUUAAAUAAGACUUUGGUACAUUGGGUUAAAUAAAAUACAUUAUUAAGGGGCGCCUGGGUGGCCCAGAUGGUUAAGCGUCCGACUUCGGCUCAGGUCAUGAUCUCACAGUUCGUGGGUUCAAGCCCUGCAUCAGGCUCUAUGCUGACAGCUCAGAGCCUGGAGCCUGCUCUGGAUUCUGUGUCUCCCUCUCUCUCUGCCCCUCCCCCACUCGCUCUGUCUCUGUCUCAAAAAUAAAUAAACAUU